rnacentral:rRNA from 1 species
ACUAGAAGCCGAUGAAGGACGUUACUAACGACGAUAUGCUUUGGGGAGCUGUAAGUAAGCUUUGAUCCAGAGAUUUCCGAAUGGGGAAACCCAGCAUGAGUUAUGUCAUGUUAUCGAUAUGUGAAUACAUAGCAUAUCAGAAGGCACACCCGGAGAACUGAAACAUCUUAGUACCCGGAGGAAGAGAAAGAAAAUUCGAUUCCCUUAGUAGCGGCGAGCGAAACGGGAAGAGCCCAAACCAACAAGCUUGCUUGUUGGGGUUGUAGGACACUCUGUACGGAGUUACAAAGGACGACAUUAGACGAAUCAUCUGGAAAGAUGAAUCAAAGAAGGUAAUAAUCCUGUAGUCGAAAAUGUUGUCUCUCUUGAGUGGAUCCUGAGUACGACGGAGCACGUGAAAUUCCGUCGGAAUCUGGGAGGACCAUCUCCUAAGGCUAAAUACUCUCUAGUGACCGAUAGUGAACCAGUACCGUGAGGGAAAGGUGAAAAGCACCCCGGAAGGGGAGUGAAAUAGAACCUGAAACCGUGUGCUUACAAGUAGUCAGAGCCCGUUAAUGGGUGAUGGCGUGCCUUUUGUAGAAUGAACCGGCGAGUUACGAUUUGAUGCAAGGUUAAGCAGUAAAUGUGGAGCCGUAGCGAAAGCGAGUCUGAAUAGGGCGUUUAGUAUUUGGUCGUAGACCCGAAACCAGGUGAUCUACCCUUGGUCAGGUUGAAGUUCAGGUAACACUGAAUGGAGGACCGAACCGACUUACGUUGAAAAGUGAGCGGAUGAACUGAGGGUAGCGGAGAAAUUCCAAUCGAACCUGGAGAUAGCUGGUUCUCUCCGAAAUAGCUUUAGGGCUAGCCUCAAGUGAUGAUUAUUGGAGGUAGAGCACUGUUUGGACGAGGGGCCCCUCUCGGGUUACCGAAUUCAGACAAACUCCGAAUGCCAAUUAAUUUAACUUGGGAGUCAGAACAUGGGUGAUAAGGUCCGUGUUCGAAAGGGAAACAGCCCAGACCACCAGCUAAGGUCCCAAAAUAUAUGUUAAGUGGAAAAGGAUGUGGCGUUGCCCAGACAACUAGGAUGUUGGCUUAGAAGCAGCCAUCAUUUAAAGAGUGCGUAAUAGCUCACUAGUCGAGUGACACUGCGCCGAAAAUGUACCGGGGCUAAACAUAUUACCGAAGCUGUGGAUUGUCCUUUGGACAAUGGUAGGAGAGCGUUCUAAGGGCGUUGAAGCAUGAUCGUAAGGACAUGUGGAGCGCUUAGAAGUGAGAAUGCCGGUGUGAGUAGCGAAAGACGGGUGAGAAUCCCGUCCACCGAUUGACUAAGGUUUCCAGAGGAAGGCUCGUCCGCUCUGGGUUAGUCGGGUCCUAAGCUGAGGCCGACAGGCGUAGGCGAUGGAUAACAGGUUGAUAUUCCUGUACCACCUAUAAUCGUUUUAAUCGAUGGGGGGACGCAGUAGGAUAGGCGAAGCGUGCGAUUGGAUUGCACGUCUAAGCAGUAAGGCUGAGUAUUAGGCAAAUCCGGUACUCGUUAAGGCUGAGCUGUGAUGGGGAGAAGACAUUGAGUCUUCGAGUCGUUGAUUUCACACUGCCGAGAAAAGCCUCUAGAUAGAAAAUAGGUGCCCGUACCGCAAACCGACACAGGUAGUCAAGAUGAGAAUUCUAAGGUGAGCGAGCGAACUCUCGUUAAGGAACUCGGCAAAAUGACCCCGUAACUUCGGGAGAAGGGGUGCUCUUUAGGGUUAACGCCCAGAAGAGCCGCAGUGAAUAGGCCCAAGCGACUGUUUAUCAAAAACACAGGUCUCUGCUAAACCGUAAGGUGAUGUAUAGGGGCUGACGCCUGCCCGGUGCUGGAAGGUUAAGAGGAGUGGUUAGCUUCUGCGAAGCUACGAAUCGAAGCCCCAGUAAACGGCGGCCGUAACUAUAACGGUCCUAAGGUAGCGAAAUUCCUUGUCGGGUAAGUUCCGACCCGCACGAAAGGCGUAACGAUUUGGGCACUGUCUCAACGAGAGACUCGGUGAAAUCAUAGUACCUGUGAAGAUGCAGGUUACCCGCGACAGGACGGAAAGACCCCGUGGAGCUUUACUGUAGCCUGAUAUUGAAAUUCGGCACAGCUUGUACAGGAUAGGUAGGAGCCUUUGAAACGUGAGCGCUAGCUUACGUGGAGGCGCUGGUGGGAUACUACCCUAGCUGUGUUGGCUUUCUAACCCGCACCACUUAUCGUGGUGGGAGACAGUGUCAAGCGGGCAGUUUGACUGGGGCGGUCGCCUCCUAAAAGGUAACGGAGGCGCUCAAAGGUUCCCUCAGAAUGGUUGGAAAUCAUUCAUAGAGUGUAAAGGCAUAAGGGAGCUUGACUGCGAGACCUACAAGUCGAGCAGGGUCGAAAGACGGACUUAGUGAUCCGGUGGUUCCGCAUGGAAGGGCCAUCGCUCAACGGAUAAAAGCUACCCCGGGGAUAACAGGCUUAUCUCCCCCAAGAGUUCACAUCGACGGGGAGGUUUGGCACCUCGAUGUCGGCUCAUCGCAUCCUGGGGCUGUAGUCGGUCCCAAGGGUUGGGCUGUUCGCCCAUUAAAGUGGUACGCGAGCUGGGUUCAGAACGUCGUGAGACAGUUCGGUCCCUAUCCGUCGUGGGCGUAGGAAAUUUGAGAGGAGCUGUCCUUAGUACGAGAGGACCGGGAUGGACAUACCUCUGGUGUACCAGUUGUCGUGCCAACGGCAUAGCUGGGUAGCUAUGUGUGGACGGGAUAAGUGCUGAAAGCAUCUAAGCAUGAAGCCCCCCUCAAGAUGAGAUUUCCCAACUUCGGUUAUAAGAUCCCUCAAAGAUGAUGAGGUUAAUAGGUUCGAGGUGGAAGCAUGGUGACAUGUGGAGCUGACGAAUACUAAUCGAUCGAAGACUUAAUCA